rnacentral:rRNA from 1 species
CCUACGGGCGGCAGCAGUGGGGAAUAUUGGACAAUGGGGGCAACCCUGAUCCAGCCAUGCCGCGUGUGUGAAGAAGGCCAUCGGGUUGUAAAGCACUUUCAGUGAGGAAGAACGCCUGGUGGUUAAUACCCAUCAGGAAAGACAUCACUCACAGAAGAAGCACCGGCUAACUCCGUGCCAGCAGCCGCGGUAAUACGGAGGGUGCGAGCGUUAAUCGGAAUUACUGGGCGUAAAGCGCGCGUAGGUGGCUUGAUAAGCCGGUUGUGAAAGCCCCGGGCUCAACCUGGGAACGGCAUCCGGAACUGUCAAGCUAGAGUGCAGGAGAGGAAGGUAGAAUUCCCGGUGUAGCGGUGAAAUGCGUAGAGAUCGGGAGGAAUACCAGUGGCGAAGGCGGCCUUCUGGACUGACACUGACACUGAGGUGCGAAAGCGUGGGUAGCAAACAGGAUUAGAUACCCCAGUAGUC